AUUCGUCAAACUCUAGACAACGUUUUGUUGCCUUUUUAAUUUCCGUGAAAUGAGUAAAAACAUUGAAAUCACUUUGAUAGGCAUUUUUUUUUUUUGUUAUGUGCAAACUAGUCAGUGAACAAAUUUCACGAUUUCCCCGAUAAAUCUGAAUUCAACUGUAUGUAACGCUGAUUUCGUUUAUCGUAAGGGGGCACCCUUAUACUUGUGUAUAUCGUAUUGUGCCAAGUGCGUUAUCGUUUAAAAUGUCCAUUCGUGUGUUGUUGUCGGAAAGAGUGCGUUUUUGUGCAUGCACGGUACGCCACCAUACAAUUAUGUACGGUCCGGAUGUCACAGGGCUGCUCCCUCGUUGUGGUACAAUAAACUACCGCCAAAACGCAGGCUCGCGGAGACUUACUACUAAAAUGUAUAGUUAUUCGAAAGUGGACAUUUUCCAGUUGACAAAUUCUCGGUUUUUACCUAUCAAAAAACUCGUUAAUACCGCGUUACCCUAUGUAUCGGGAGCGUCUUAAUCCCGUUGAUUCUCCACUGACAUGCAGCAGCGCCAUUGAAAAACACUACGAAAACAAAUCGUUCGAUAUAUUGUUUGGCGAACACCCGACGGGCGUUAAUAUUAAAUAUUGGUACGUAUACCAUAGUCUUAUGGAGAUAAUAAUUAAAACUUUUACUGCACACAUCUGUCUUUCUGUAGUUUCCUGCGUUUGUGCGCAGUGCACGCGUAUAGGAUAAUAUAAAUACUUACAAAUUUCGUUUGAUAAUAACAAUGAUAAACGACGUCGAAUAAAAUUAUUGUCCGCGCACCGCUGCCGCAGCGUAAACAAUGUUCCAAAGAAUAUAAGUUUCAAAAAG